AUUGAACGCUGGCGGCAUGCCUUACACAUGCAAGUCGAACGGUAACGCGGGGCAACCUGGCGACGAGUGGCGAACGGGUGAGUAAAGUAUCGGAACGUGCCCAGUAGUGGGGGAUAGCCCGGCGAAAGCCGGAUUAAUACCGCAUGAGACCUGAGGGUGAAAGCGGGGGAUCGCAAGACCUCGCGCUAUUGGAGCGGCCGAUAUCAGAUUAGGUAGUUGGUGGGGUAAAGGCCUACCAAGCCGACGAUCUGUAGCUGGUCUGAGAGGACGACUAGCCACACUGGGACUGAGAAACGGCCCAGAUUCCUACGGGAGGCAGCAGUGGGGAAUUUUGGACAAUGGGCGCAAGCCUGAUCCAGCCAUGCCGCGUGCGGGAAGAAGGCCUUCGGGUUGUAAACCGCUUUUGUCAGGGAAGAAAUCUUCUGGGUUAAUACCUCGGGAGGAUGACGGUACCUGAAGAAUAAGCACCGGCUAACUACGUGCCAGCCGCCGCCGUAACAC
rnacentral:rRNA from 1 species